AGCUGAUUAGAGGUGUGUGUGAAUUAAAGGGGGUGUGCUUUCUGUUGAAGCAGAUGCAGGGCGCAGCCAGAGAGGUGAGAGACACCUUCCCUUUAAGAGUGUAUUUUUAGCCAGCCAGUUAUUAGUGUUCAUUGGGAGGGAAAACAGGGUGUUAAGGGAGGAAUUAAGCACAUGCAGACUGUCUAAGAAGGAUGUGGAGAUCAGGACGACUAAUAUACCACAAAUGAAACGUCGUCCCUAGGGAAUGAAGUGCAAGGAGCUGUCCAGUCACGAGUACUACAGCCAACAACAGACAGUCAGCUUGUAGAGCAGGGUCAUGCCAGCCAUAUUUUCUGUAUUGAAGCCCAUAUUCAACUUUAAUGAGCAACGCACUGUGUGUGUGAUUAGGUUUCAGGCUUCAGUUACACUUCUCUGCUUCUCCGAGCACUAACAUUAAGGUCAUUAGUGUUCGCUCCAGCGGUCAGCCCUGUGUGGGGAAGGCUAUCUGUUCUGGGCCGCCGUUCAUCACUGUAGACGAGAGGGAGAGGAAAAGAGGGAAUAAGGGCAGGACAGCCCCCUAACAACAACAAUAGUAAUCUUUGACUCUCCUGUCAUUGUAUUUAUCCUGAUUGUGGUGCCAACAGCAGAAAGUCAUGAUAGAGAGCUUAACUUACUGCUAAUGCCGUUUGAUCUGGUUAAUUGAUGUGUGGAGAUCGUUAGAGCAUCUGUGGAUCUUGAUAAGAGUCCAUCUCCUCGAUAUAGCUCAGGGACAACAGCUGGUCACGCCAAGGACGAAUUCCCCCUGGAGCUGUGGGCUGGGCUGAAUAAGCCUCCACUGUCACAUCACACAGCCGUCACUCUGAUGGUAAAUAGGGUGGAGAGGAUGAAACGUUAAUAGUUUAAAAGAAGCCGGAAACUGCAUCAGAGGAAUCUGAGAUCCUUAUAGGCAUGAAAUGCAUGUAGUAGCAUGACUGGUGUCUUGAGCCUUGUAUGAAAAGACCAGAUCUUGCAGAAGUGUGUGCAGUUGACAUAAAAGAGUGAUACCAGUGUUGUUUUUGGUAACUAAACUAAGUAUUUUUAUUUAUUUAUAUAUUUAUUGGUCAUGUUUGGCAACUAAUUGAAAUAAGAUAAGUUGAAGUACUAAAAUUACUAAAUAUCAAAUAAAAUGAACGCUAAAUAGAAAUAUGUAAAGAAU
ensembl:lncRNA